GUUGAAUCAAGGCUCAGGCAGAGAGGAUCACUUUUCAAAGAUUGUAAAAGAAGUUACGUGGAUAGUGUGUUAUGCAUCAAGGAAAGGAAUGGAAAAUCAGAAGACGUGUUAAGAUCACACAAACCAGAGGUGAAAGCUGAAUCUGAGAGGCUUCUGUUUCCAGCAAUAAGGCCAAUAAUACCCCAAGCUCCUGACUGAAACCAAACACUCUGGAGGGACACUCUCACAUGCAGGCCAGAAGGAAUUUGAAUACAAGGAAAUAGGCUAAAGAAGAGAGCUCAUGGCAAAAAUUACAAACCAUACAAGGAAGGCAUUCACCACAGUGAGACUUGCCCAGCAAGAUUCCCUUCCAAUCUUUUCUGAAUGAUGAGAACACACAGGAUCCUAGAGCUAUUACAAACUUUCUCCAUUCUCCUGAAGUCUCCUACUGUACUGCCUCUCUCCUAAUUCUUGAUUUAAUCCUUCCAACAUGUGAGCUAGGAACAGCAGCAUUAACAUCACCUGGAAACUUCUUGGAAAUGCAGAACUUCAGAACUUCAGACCCAC